GACGAACGCUGGCGGCGUGCUUAACACAUGCAAGUCGAACGGAAAGGCCCUGCUUUUGUGGGGUGCUCGAGUGGCGAACGGGGGAGUAACACGUGAGUAAGCUGCCCUUGCCUUUGGGAGAACUUCAUGCAGCUGGGGCUAAUACCGGAUAGGAGCUACUGCUGCAUGGUGGGGGUUGGAAAGUUUCGGCGGUUGGGGAUGGACUCGCGGCUUAUCAGCUUGUUGGAGGGGUAGUGGCUUACCAAGGCUUUGACGGGUAGCCGGCCUGGGAGGGUGACCGGCCCCAUUGGGACUGAGAUACGGCCCAGACUCCUACGGGAGGCAGCGGUGGGGAAUAUUGCACAAUGGGCGGAAGCCUGAUGCAGCAACGCCGCGUGCGGGAUGACGGCCAUCGGGUUGUAAACCGCUUUCGCCUUUGACGAAGCGUGAGUGACGGUAAUGGGUAAAGAAGCACCGGCUAACUACGUG
rnacentral:rRNA from 1 species